rnacentral:misc_RNA from 1 species
CAACCCCCAAGCACCGCUUGGUGUUGGGGCACUACGGGCAACCGUAGGCCCUGAAAACUAGUGGCGGACUCGCUGAAGGUCCGGGCGUAGUAGUAAUAUCUCGCCCGCGGUCCCCAGCGCGCUCCGGCCGUUAAACUCCCCAAUCUUACAGAA